rnacentral:tRNA from 1 species
UCCAGGAUAGCCUAGUGGACAUGGCACCUGCCGGUAAGAAGGUUGUGGGUUCGAUUCCCGCUCCUGGAC